rnacentral:rRNA from 1 species
UUUGGUUCGGAACAACACAGGGAAACUUGUGCUAAUACCGGAUAAGCCCUUACGGGGAAAGAUUUAUCGCCGAAAGAUCGGCCCGCGUCUGAUUAGCUAGUUGGUGAGGUAAUGGCUCACCAAGGCGACGAUCAGUAGCUGGUCUGAGAGGAUGAUCAGCCACAUUGGGACUGAGACACGGCCCAAACUCCUACGGGAGGCAGCAGUGGGGAAUAUUGGACAAUGGGCGCAAGCCUGAUCCAGCCAUGCCGCGUGAGUGAUGAAGGCCCUAGGGUUGUAAAGCUCUUUUGUGCGGGAAGAUAAUGACGGUACCGCAAGAAUAAGCCCCGGCUAACUUCGUGCCAGCAGCCGCGGUAAUACGAAGGGGGCUAGCGUUGCUCGGAAUCACUGGGCGUAAAGGGUGCGUAGGCGGGUCUUUAAGUCAGGGGUGAAAUCCUGGAGCUCAACUCCAGAACUGCCUUUGAUACUGAAGAUCUUGAGUUCGGGAGAGGUGAGUGGAACUGCGAGUGUAGAGGUGAAAUUCGUA